CGACUGGCUGGUCAGAGCCACCAGGCUGUGUCCUGGCACAGGAGUUGUGCAUGGGCGGGACUCUGGGUUCUCAUGCCCUGGGGAGCGCCCGCGCCUGGGGCAGGGCUCCGUAGACUCCUUUGUCACCCCUCAGCUUCGCCGUGAGGAAAAUGUCCUGCAAACACCAGCCCAGAUGGAGGGAGCCACGGCUUCACCACUUCCUGCCGGUGUGCCGGGCUGCGCUCCAGGGACCGCUGGGGCCGUCACCAAAAGAACGGAGCCCAGGGAACGUGGAGAGGAGCCCAGAUGCCUGAGGACCGAGGAGGUUCCAGGGGUGCAGGACCUUUGAUGCUUAGAGCCAGGAGAGGCCACUCGGCCACCCUAAGGGCAGGUCUUCUGCCCCAGGCCGCGUGUGGUUUCUUUCGACACACUGAGGAAGCCUUUCUCCUGAGAUCACCAAAUGCAGCCUGCCCGGUUUCUGUUCCCCAUUACUGCGUAUGCGGUGGGCAAACCUCCUCCGGCCCUGAAAGCUCCUGGCUGCCUGGGGAUUUUCUGUGUGCUCCUACAUAAAAAGCAGCUUCUGUCACUCAACUGGCAAAUACAGUCUCAAUUCAGAGUCAGUCCAAAUCCAUUACCCUAACCCUGAGAUAUUAAUCCAAGCUCCAUUCUUGGUUUAAA
rnacentral:lncRNA from 1 species